rnacentral:SRP_RNA from 13 species
GGGCAGAAAUGCAGCAGCACUAGUGAAUCUGGA